GACAGAGGUGCCGAGCGUUAGGCGGAAUCACUGGGCUUAAAGCGUGUGUAGGCGGAUUUUUAAGUACCUUGUGAAAUCCCACGGCUUAACCGUGGAACUGCUGGGUAUACUGGAUAUCUUGAGCCAACUAGGGGCUACCGGAACAAAUGGUGGAGCGGUGAAAUGCGUAGAUAUCAGGAGGAACGCCGGUGGCGAAAGCGGUCCGCUGGAUCUCUUCUGACGCUGAGGCGCGAAAGCCAGGGGAGCAAACGGG
rnacentral:rRNA from 1 species